AUUGAACGCUGGCGGCAUGCUUUACACAUGCAAGUCGAACGGCAGCGGGGGCUUCGGCCUGCCGGCGAGUGGCGAACGGGUGAGUAAUGCAUCGGAACGUGCCCAUGUCGUGGGGGAUAACUACGCGAAAGCGUGGCUAAUACCGCAUACGCCCUGAGGGGGAAAGCGGGGGAUCUUUCGGGACCUCGCGCGAUUGGAGCGGCCGAUGUCGGAUUAGCUAGUUGGUGGGGUAAAGGCUCACCAAGGCGACGAUCCGUAGCUGGUCUGAGAGGAUGAUCAGCCAUACUGGGACUGAGACACGGCCCAGACUCCUACGGGAGGCAGCAGUGGGGAAUUUUGGACAAUGGGCGCAAGCCUGAUCCAGCCAUGCCGCGUGAGUGAAGAAGGCCUUCGGGUUGUAAAGCUCUUUCGGCCGGGAAGAAAUCGCAUUCUCUAAUAUAGGAUGUGGAUGACGGUACCGGACUAAGAAGCACCGGCUAACUACGUGCCAGCAGCCGCAGUAAUAC
rnacentral:rRNA from 1 species